rnacentral:rRNA from 1 species
AUUGAACGCUGGCGGCAGGCCUAACACAUGCAAGUCGAGCGGAUGAAGGGAGCUUGCUCCUGGAUUCAGCGGCGGACGGGUGAGUAAUGCCUAGGAAUCUGCCUGGUAGUGGGGGAUAACGUCCGGAAACGGGCGCUAAUACCGCAUACGUCCUGAGGGAGAAAGUGGGGGAUCUUCGGACCUCACGCUAUCAGAUGAGCCUAGGUCGGAUUAGCUAGUUGGUGGGGUAAAGGCCUACCAAGGCGACGAUCCGUAACUGGUCUGAGAGGAUGAUCAGUCACACUGGAACUGAGACGCGGUCCAGACUCCUACGGGAGGCAGCAGUGGGGAAUAUUGGACAAUGGGCGAAAGCCUGAUCCAGCCAUGCCGCGUGUGUGAAGAAGGUCUUCGGAUUGUAAAGCACUUUAAGUUGGGAGGAAGGGCAGUAAGUUAAUACAUUGCUGUUCUGACGUUACCAACAGAAUAAGCACCGGCUAACUUCGU